AGUGAACGCUGGCGGUAGGCCUAACACAUGCAAGUCGAACGGCAGCACAGUAAGAGCUUGCUCUUACGGGUGGCGAGUGGCGGACGGGUGAGGAAUACAUCGGUAUCUACUUUUUCGUGGGGGAUAACGUAGGGAAACUUACGCUAAUACCGCAUACGACCUACGGGUGAAAGCAGGGGAUCUUCGGACCUUGCGCGAUUGAAUGAGCCGAUGUCGGUUUAGCUAGUUGGCGGGGUAAAGGCCCACCAAGGCGACGAUCCGUAGCUGGUCUGAGAGGAUGAUCAGCCACACUGGAACUGAGACACGGUCCAGACUCCUACGGGAGGCAGCAGUGGGGAAUAUUGGACAAUGGGCGCAAGCCUGAUCCAGCCAUACCGCGUGGGUGAAGAAGGCCUUCGGGUUGUAAAGCCCUUUUGUUGGGAAAGAAAAGCAGCAGGUUAAUACCCCGCUGUUCUGACGGUACCCAAAGAAUAAGCACCGGCUAACUUCGUG
rnacentral:rRNA from 1 species